AAAAUGAAGAAAAAGAUUUCUUAUAUAUUCGUCGUAUUCAAGAGCAAUUGAAUAGUGAAUUAUUCUCUCUCUCCCUCUCUCUCUCUCACCAGGCGCUACUAUCGGAGUUUAGGAGCCAAGAAGAAAAUCUUCAUAUAGGUGGCAUCUAUAAGUAGAAGAAAAGACGAGGGGAAACAACAUAACAAUACUCCAUCCUUGAGUGAGUAAACACUAUAACAGUUUAUAGGUUGUGGAUUCUCUCAAGCUUGCAGUGGAUCAUCUUGCUGAGGGUGUCCACUCGUUGAUGGCGAGAAAGAUUGGCGAAGUUCAUGAUGGGCAUACCACACAGUCGAAUGACAGGUCACGGGCAAGGAACCGUCGAGCACGUGAUGUUGAAUUUGGAAUAUCAAAUAGCAACAGAAGCAGACUUGGGGGGAGCUCCUCUGAUGACCAACAUGGCAUUGAGACCCCACAAACAAAGAAGAAGUACCUGCAGAGGCUCACUGGUCAUCAGAGCUAUAUACUUGAAGGUUUUUUCGGCAUAUGUGAACACCCUGAUGAAAAUCAAAGGAGGAGGUUGAGUGAGUCAACGGGCCUUGCAAUGCAACAAGUCAAGUUUUGGUUCCAGAACAAGAGAACACAAGUGAAGCAUCUGACCGAAAAAGAGGAGACCUAUGGACUAAAAGUGCAGAAUGAAAUGUUGAGGGAUGAAAACAAGAGUCUUAAGAUGGCACCGAGGAAUGCACUUUGCCCCACUUGCAGCGAUUUACCAACAGAAAAUCAUCACUCUAGAGAGAUGCGAUUGCUAAUGGAGCAAAAUGAGUGGUUAAAGCAAGAGAUUUUGCGGUUGCAUGGUGAAAAAGAUGCAAGCUCAAACCAUUAUGCCCAAGUUGACCCAUACGCAAAAAUAGUUGUUGCAUUACAAAAUGACAUAGAUAUGAUUACUGAACUAGUCCAGAAAGCGUUGCAUGAGUUUGUCAUUUUGUCUAACAUAAAUAGCCCUCUAUGGUUGUCUGUCCCUGUCCUUGAUGGAUCCUUUGAAAUAUUGAACAAGACGAAAUAUGUUGAAAAAUUUGGUGGAGACAAUAGUGCUAGUAUAAUUGGAUUCAAGACCGAGGCUACUCGUGCUAAUGCUAUUGUCAUGAUGGAUGCCAAAAAUAUUGUGGAUUAUCUCAUGGAUACUGUAAGUUGCAUAUAAACUGUAACAAACAUUUUUGUGAGGAAAAAACAAAAUAAAGUUUUUUUCUUGUCAAUGAUGAUAUCUCAUGUCACACGCAAGCUGAUUUCAGUCUUAAAUAACUGCAUGAGUGUUGUGCAUCAUUAUGUCCUGGAAUUCUAUAUAGUGCAAAAACCACUAAGGUUUACAAGUGGCCUACUAAUGCACACUACAAUGGGGCCAUGUAUUUGGUAUGUAUGCUUUAUUUCUUUAUGUAUUAAGAAAAAUAUGUUUAUUCAUGAUUGCAAAUAUAUCAUACAAAACCAAUACCAAAUAUAUUGUUGGCAAAACAUGCAUAUCAAGAAAUUAGUUUGGCUCAUUACUCAUUGUUUUCCUUCUUUAUGGUUGCUUGAAAACAACAGAUGACAACUGAGACGAUGUUCCCAUCAUCUCUAGUACCAUCUAGGAAAUGCACAUUCGUCAGGUACUGUAGGGUGAUACAAAAUGGCAAAGUGGUAAUUGUCGAUGUGUCUUUGGACGAAGUUGACGGUACCUUCUCCAACUGUCGCAAAAUGCCAUCGGGAGUACUAAUUCAAACCAUGGGUCCCAACACCUCCAAGAUCACUGCUAUAGAACAUGUUCAAGUAGAAGAUAUGGGUAUCAAUGAGCUCUACCAGCCAUGUAUUAGUGGGCUCAUGUUCGGAGCUAGGCGUAUUGUGACGAGCAUCUCACGACAGUGUGCACGUAUGAGAGAACUCUGCUAUGUCACCAAAAGAGUUCUAAGCGUCAACUCAAAGGGGAGGGAGACCCUCAUGAAGCUAGCAGAUGACCUGCUCAUGAGUUAUACCAGCAGCGUCACUACCAUCCCCGAGGAUGCAUGGACCAUUAUGUGUAGCAUUGGUACAGAUGAUUAUAUCAAGAUAGCACACAAGAGGAAUAUCAACAAUAGAAACACUGCCAUUGUGUUUGUGAGUGCGUCAUUCCAUCUAUCAAUGCCACUUCGGGUAACAUUUGAUCUGCUCAAGAACAACUUGCUGCGCCCAAAGUGGGAUGUGCUAGUUAAUGGUGGUGUGGUGGGAGAGGAAGUCCAAGUUUCCAGUGGCAUACAACCUGGCGAUGCCAUCUCCUUACUUCAUGUCAAGCCCGUCACACAAAUCAAGGAGAACAUCCUCCAGAAUAGCUGCUACGAUGUGUCAGGCUCGUUCAUCGUCUACUCCCCCGUCGACAUCAAACUUAUGGACAACAUCAUGAUCCCAAAUGAUAUGGAGGAGAGUAAGGUGUUUACCUACCCCACCGGUUUCUCCCUCCUCCCUGUCGACGAGUCUACCAAAGAUGGCAUUGCCCUCGGCGAAGAUGGAGCAACUCUUGUGACCAUGGGGUCCCAUGUUCCAUUGAAACUCGCUCAUGGCACUGGUUUAUGUCCUAGAUUUGUGUCUGCAACCAUUGGUAUCAUGUCUGAAAACAUUGCGACCAUAAAAAGCACUCUAACCAACAUCAACCGCAUGUACUACAGAAGCAGUCAGUCUCCCAUUCUCACCUAGGAUGUAUGCAGGGGUGGAUGGGGGAGGGUGUGAACCAGGUGGAAGUAUGUGAAAUUGCAUGGAUACAUUAUCGGUUCAUAUCAACUGCAGUUCUCCUUGUGUUUGUGAUACUUCGUUAUUUUUACUUUACUACUUGCAACUUUCGGCUUACAAGAAGAAUCUACAAUAAUGGUUUAAGAACUAGAUCUAUGUCACGUUUCCUUUGGAACUUUCUGUUUGGAAUAAGAACAUUUUGUAAUAAUGGUUCAAGAAAGACAUUAUGUAAUGUUUUUGUUGUGCUUAUCGACUGCC
rnacentral:rRNA from 1 species